UGUCAUCAGUGCACACAGUUGUAAAGCGAUCCUUCUGGGUACAGCAGCACACUAAAGCGUCUGUACGACUCCGACACUCGCACAUCUCUCCCUUCUGCUAGACAAGAAAAAAUCUGGACAAUGUUACCUGGAUUUUGCACCUUCAAGGGAAUUGCACGCACCCUGGGAAUGGCAAUCAAUGAUCGUCCAGACCUG